UGAACCUGGGGGGCGGAGGUUGCAGUAAGUCAAGAUCGCACCAUUGCACUCCCGCUGGGCAACAGAGUGAGGCUCUGUCUCCAAAAAAAAAAAAACAAAAAACACAAAAACAAAAACGUUUUGGCCUCUCAUUUUUCUUUUUAAAGAAAUAAACGUUACAGAUAUAGUUGAAACCUUGUUCAAACCAUUCACUAAUCCCCAUCCCCCGUCUCCCUAAAAGGUAACCAUUAAACUGAAUUUGGCAGUUAACAUCCCCAUAGACCCCAACUUUAAAAGAGAGCAUUAGGUUGGAUGAAUUUUUUUUAACUUUUAUUUUAAGUUCAAAGCUACAUGAGCAGGUUUGUUACACAGGUAAACGUGUGUCAUGAGGGUUUGUUGCACAUAUAUUUCAUCACCCAGGUACUACGCCUAGUAUCUGUUAGUUAUUUUUCCUAAUCCUCUCCUUCUUCCUGCCCUCCAGCCUCCAAUAGGCCCCACUGUGUGUUGUUCCCCUCUAUGUGUCCAUGUAUUCUCAUCACUUGACACCCACUUAUAAGUAAGAACAUGCAGUAUUUGGUUUUCUGUUCCUGCCUUAAUUUGCUAAGGAUAACAGCCUCCAGCUCCAUCCAUGUCCCUGAAAAGGACAUAAUCUCACUUUUUAUGGCUGCAUAGUAUUCCAUGGUAUAUUAAGUACCACAUUUCUUUAUCCAGCCUAUCAUUGAUGGGCAUUUGGGUUGAUAGUCUGGAUGAAUUCUAAUGCACCAUUCUGUUCUAAGACAUCAGGAUUUGGCAGUAUGAUAGAAAGCCUUUGAUGUUCUAUGAUAGAAGUGCAAAAGUCUACACUUCUGUGAAAUAUGCAAAAAUACUUCCCAAUAAUUUCAAACCUCAGAACACACUGAUUGAUGAUAGUUCAUGAUGGGUAGCUCCAGAAACAAACAAACAAAAUGAUAAUAAUGAUUAUAACCUUUCAGCCAAAAAGAAAAAAAAAAGCAUAUUAACUUUACUGUUGUAGUGCCAGUACAACUUUUUAUUUUAUUUUUGAGACAGGUUUUCCCUCUGUUGCCUAGGCUGGAGUGCAAUAGUGUAAUCAUGGCUCACCGCAGCCUCAAACUACUGGGAUCAAGCAAUCCUCAUGCCUCAGCCUCCCCAGUAGCUGAGACUACAAGCAUGUGCUACUAUACCCAGCUAAUUUUUAAAUUUUUCUUUAUAGAGAUGGGGUCUCAUGACAUUGACAGGCUGGUUUCAAACUCCUGGUCUCAAGCCAGCUUCCUGCCUCAGUUUCCCAAAGUGUUGGGAUUAUAGGACUGAGCCAUUGCAUCCAGCCAGUCCAAAAUUAGUAACAAUACAUAGAGCAUAUAAAACCUAAGCUUAAGUAUUUUGCAAACAAAUCAGUCCUACCAUUUGUCUUUGGUGAAAAUGCGAGACUGAAGACAGAAAAAUUAUGUUUAAAGAACUGUGGUAUACCUGUUAUUAGAUUCUAGUAUCAGUUGUUUUUGAGGUUUUUUCCUGCAAUUUAGACUAAUCCUACUUAUUCCUGUGAACCAACCAGUGAUCUCUGCUGCUGCUCAGAAGAAAUAAAAGGGAUGGGUAAUGUAAAAAUCCUGAUCAGUAUUCUAAUUCUGGGCAGGUACUGGAAUCAGCCAGGGACCCCAUAUCAGCUUGGUUCCACAACAACUGCCUAGUUAAUAGAAAGCCUUCUUAUUUAGUUUACUUGGGAUAAUUUUACUUAUUUUGUUUUACUGUUGUAGAAUAUAUUGCUGUUGUACUCUUUGUGUAGGAAUGCAGAUAAGCUUACUGAAUGUUUUCUUAAAUUGAACACUUACUAUUCUUCCAGAUAGCACCUCUUGUUGGAACUCACUGUUAUCAAUGGCCCUCGCCAGACCUACGCUUUGUGACUGACCUCCUCUCUACCUUGAAUACAAGAGGCCCUCAUAGUUAGAUUGUAAGCUCCAUAAAGGAAAGGAUUUUUCUAUUUUGUUCACUGAUAUAACCCCACGUUGAGUACUUGGGAGGACCCUCAAAACAUCUUGCUGGAAGAAUGGCCAGAAGACGACCUUAUACCUCCUCCUUUCUCACCAGGCGGCCUCUGCAUCUAGUGCAUCCUUUCAUUUGGCAACCACUUUGAAGAAGACAAAUUCCAUUUCAAAUGAAGCAUCCCACUAAAUACUCCCUUUGGACAACUAAGAGAAAAUGAUUUAACAUCAAGUUGUAUUGGCUUCCUUUCCUCCUUCUAGACCGUAAGCUGUUUCUGCUGGAAACAAGGAGGAGGAAACCACAUUAACGAGGCUACAAGCAAGGGCAGUCCUGUGUGAGCUAUGUAGAACUAGGAAUGUCUAUCGUGAGAACAUAAAUUCAACAUGUUAAUAUGGCCACUAGGCAGUGAGCUGCAUAGGUGACCACAAAAGCUACCACUAGCUACACCACUGCCCAGUCCCAUAAGCUGCAACAGAAUGGGAGAUUUAAGUGCUUCUACUCAGAGCAACCUGGGCACAUCAGGGCUCUAUCACAAAGAGUUAAGAACCAGGAAAGCACUCUACUUAGAAGGUAUGGCUUGAUUCCCAAAUGAGAAAACUACCAGCUGGGCUAUCCAAAGAAACUGUGACCCACCUACACAGCAGCUAUUAAAACUGAGAUCCUGCCUGAAAUAAGAAAGACCUACAUACAUAAAAAAAAUUAAUCAAAAAACCACAUGUGCACACCUCAGAGCAAGUAGGCUUUAUUAUUCUAGCGUUUUCCUUUUCCAAGUAACAAUAAUAAUAGUUAACAUUUAAGUAGUGCCUUCUUUGUGAUAGGCACUCUUCCAAGAGCUUAAGAUACAAUAUUUAGCUUAAUCUUCCCAAUACCCUGUGCAGUAAGAACUUACCCCUGUUUCAAAGAUAAAGAUUAAACUGAGUCACAGAGUGUGCGCCCAAGGCCAUUUAGUUUAAAAAGCAGCAGGAUCAGGCUGGGUGUAGGGGCUCAUGCCUGUAAUCCCAACACUAUGGGAGGCCGAGGUGGGUGGAUCAUUUGAGGUCAGGAGUUUGAGACCAGCCUGGCCAACAUGGUGAAACCCCUUCUCUACUAAAAAUACAAAAAUUAACCAGGCGUGGUGGUGGGUGCCUGUAAUUCCAGUUACUCAGGAGGCUGAGGCAGGAGAAUCACUUGAACCUGGGAGGCGGAGAUUGCAGUGAACCAAGAUUGAGCCAUCACACUCCACCCUGGGUGACAAGAGCGAAACUUCAUCUCAAAAAAAAAAAAAAAAAAAAGUAGCAGGAUCAGAGUUUGAACAAGAGCCAGUACUAUUAACUCUAUGCCAUCAGGUCAAGACCUGGAUCUCAUCAGAAGGGAGGCUCCUCUAAUCUCCAUCAUAAAAUAACAUAACUACAGCAAAGAAAAUUAGAUGUACUCCUCAGGAUAUGUUUAAGCCUUAGAAAUGAAGACAAGGUGGUCAGAGACAGUGAGUCCUCCUCGGGAGAAGCAGUAGAGACCAUCUGCUGACCAAAUACAGAUUUCCGAGGAGGGGUGAAUCCCCAUGGGGCAUUAUUCCUUGACAUCAUAGGCUCUGCCCACUCCAAUCCCACACAACUUAUCCAGCUGGGCAACAGUGAUGCCAUCCAGUGAGCACCUAAUCAAAAUUUUAAAGGUUACAGGAAAAGUAUAAGAGGUUAUAGAUAUUUGGGAAGUGAAACAGGCAUAUAUAGAAAGUGCCUCAAAUCUCUGUUACAGAAAGCUUCUAAAGGAUCUCAGAAUAUAAAUUCCUUUUGGCAAAAGCUACUGUACUUAUAACCACAGACAAGAUAGUUGAAGGCACAAAGGUGAGGUCCACACAACUUGACAUACAGGAGAAAGGGCACCAGCUUAACAGUAUGUGGGGUAGGUAGGAACAGUUCUACUUACUAGCAACGUGACUUUGAAUAAGUCACUUCGCUUACCUGUCCUUCAAGUUUCCGUAUCUCUAAAAUAGACUAAGUCCUGUCUUAUAGACUAAUAGACCUGCCCUGAUCACCUUAACAAGUUGCUGCAGUAAUACCAUUUUAUUCAUUUUAAAAAAUCAGGAGAGGCUCUGUAGACCAAGUAUCUCCACAGC
rnacentral:lncRNA from 1 species